rnacentral:rRNA from 1 species
CAGUCGCCGCGGUAAUACGUAGGGUGCGAGCGUUAAACGGAAUUACUGGGCGUAAAGCGUGCGCAGGCGGUUCGUUAAGUCAGGCGUGAAAUUCCUGGGCUCAACCUGGGGGCUGCGCUUGAUACUUGGUUGCUUGAGUGGGGAAGAGGGUCGUGGAAUUCCCAGUGUAGAGGUGAAAUUCGUAGAUAUUGGGAAGAACACCGGUGGCGAAGGCGGCGACCUGGUCCUUGACUGACGCUGAGGCGCGAAAGCGUGGGGAGCAAACAGGAUUAGAUACCCCUGUAGUCCCUGUCUCUUAUAC